rnacentral:rRNA from 1 species
AUUGAACGCUGGCGGCAUGCUUUACACAUGCAAGUCGAACGGCAACAGGCCGCAAGGUGCUGACGAGUGGCGAACGGGUGAGUAAUGCAUCGGAACGUGCCCAGUCGUGGGGGAUAACGCAGCGAAAGCUGCGCUAAUACCGCAUACGAUCUAUGGAUGAAAGCGGGGGACCGUAAGGCCUCGCGCGAUUGGAGCGGCCGAUGUCAGAUUAGGUAGUUGGUGGGGUAAAGGCGCACCAAGCCAACGAUCUGUAGCUGGUCUGAGAGGACGACCAGCCACACUGGGACGGAGACACGGCCCAGACUCCUACGGGAGGCAGCAGUGGGGAAUUUUGGACAAUGGGCGCAAGCCUGAUCCAGCAAUGCCGCGUGCAGGAAGAAGGCCUUCGGGUUGUAAACUGCUUUUGUACGGAACGAAAAGGCUCUGGUUAAUACCUGGGGCUCAUGACGGUACCGUAAGAAUAAGCACCGGCUAACUACGUGCCAGCCGCCGCGGUAAGAC